rfam:Erinaceus europaeus unplaced genomic scaffold scaffold00030, whole genome shotgun sequence
GAAUCCAUGUCUGGCUGCAACAUCAGUCACUUCACUGAUUGCCAGGGUUGACUUGGCUGAUCUGGCUGGCUAGGCAGGUGUCCCCUUCCUCUCUGGUCCAUAUGUAACCCUCCCAAAGCUUGAUUGAAGAGGACAACUUUCCCUGAAUGGAGACAAACUGCUCUUCCAUUGAGGGUACACGAGUAGUUGUGCUCCUCUGCUAGAACCUCCAAACAAGCUCUCAAUAAAUAAAUAAAUAAAUAAAGUUAAAAAACAAGCUUCAAGAAUCCACAAAGGUAACUAUAUUGUCAUUUUUAAAUUUUU